rnacentral:rRNA from 1 species
UCGGGAAUUUUGGGCAAUGGGCGAAAGCCUGACCCAGCAACGCCGCGUGAAGGAUGAAGUAUUUCGGUAUGUAAACUUCGUAAGAAUAGGAAGAAUAAAUGACGGUACUAUUUGUAAGGUCCGGCUAACUACGUGCCAGCAGCCGCGGUAAUACGUAGGGACCAAGCGUUGUUCGGAUUUACUGGGCGUAAAGGGCGCGUAGGCGGUGUGUCAAGUCAGUUGUGAAAUCUCCGAGCUUAACUCGGAACGGUCAACUGAUACUGUCACACUAGAGUACAGAAGGGGCAAUCGGAAUUCUUGGUGUAGCGGUGAAAUGCGUAGAUAUCAAGAGGAACACCGAUGGCGAAGGCAGCCCCCUGGGUCAACACUGACGCUCAUGCACGAAAGCGUGGGGAGCAAACAGGAUUAGAUACCCCCGUAGUCCCUGAGCGGGCUGGCAAGGCGCAU